rnacentral:rRNA from 1 species
GUGCCAGCCGCCGCGGUAAAACGUAGGUGCCGAGAGUUGUGAGGAUUCACUGGGUGUAAAGGGCGCGUAGGUGGUUGUCUGUGUCUCAUGUGAAAACUCAGGGCUCAACUCUGAGAUUGCGUGGGAAACUAGGCAGCUAGAGGACGGUAGAGGGGAGUGGAAUUCCCGGUGUAGCGGUAAAAUGCGUAGAUAUCGGGAGGAACACCAGUGGCGAAGGCGACUGCCUGGACGAUAACUGACGCUGAGGCACGAAAGCUAGGGGAGCAAACAGGAUUAGAUACCCGGGUAGUCCUAGCCGUAAACGAUGGGUGCUUGGUGUUGGGGGGUAAAGACCCUUCAGUGCCGAAGCCAACGCGAUAAGCAUCCCACCUGGGGAGUACGGCCGCAAGGUUGAAACUCAAAGGAAUUGGCGG